rnacentral:misc_RNA from 1 species
AACGCACGAGACCUGCGGACCUGCGGAGGGAUCAUUAAUGAGAAACUGCCCCUCGCGGGUAGAUCUCCCACCCUUUGUAAACUUACCUUUGUUGCUUUGGCAGGCCCGUCUCCGGACCGCCGGCUUCGGCUGGCCAGUGCCUGCCAGAGGAUUCUAAAACUCUGUCUGUCAGUGUUGUCUGAGUCUAUAUACAAUCGUUAAAACUUUUAACAAUGGAUCUCUAGAUCGGAAGAGCACACG